rnacentral:rRNA from 1 species
GAUCCUGGCUCAGGAUGAACGCUAGCUACAGGCUUAACACAUGCAAGUCGAGGGGCAGCAUGGACCCAGCUUUGCUGGGUUUGAUGGCGACCGGCGCACGGGUGAGUAACGCGUAUCCAACCUGCCCUUUACUCCGGGAUAGUCUCCUGAAAGGGAGUUUAAUACCGGAUGUGUUUGUCUUUCCGCAUGGGAGCGACAAAUAAAGAUUAAUUGGUAAAGGAUGGGGAUGCGUCCCAUUAGAUAGUAGGCGGGG